UACGGGGGGGGCAAGCGUUGGUCGGAAUUACUGGGCGUAAAGGGCGCGUAGGCGGCCUACUAAGUCGGACGUGAAAUCCCUCGGCUCAACCGGGGAACUGCGUCCGAUACUGGUGGGCUUGAAUCCGGGAGAGGGAUGUGGAAUUCCAGGUGUAGCGGUGAAAUGCGUAGAUAUCUGGAGGAACACCGGUGGCGAAGGCGGCAUCCUGGACCGGUAUUGACGCUGAUGCGCGAAAGCCAGGGGAGCAAACGGG
rnacentral:rRNA from 1 species